rnacentral:lncRNA from 1 species
AGAGCCCACCCAGAGAAUGACAACCAUCAAAAAGUCUAAGCCCAUAUAGCCGAUGGCCUGCCCAAAUGAUGUUCAGCGGUCUCUACCCAACGGAACUCAGCUUAGAGGCUUUCUACCCGCACUACCUAGACCCACAGUUCACUCACCUGAAGCCGUCUUACCGUGGAGUCAACGGAGAAAACGGUUUCGUAUAAUGAAACUGUUCGUCCAUAUGAAAUUCUUCCAAUUUGGUUGGCGGAAGCGAAUCCACAAAUGCAUGCAGAGAACUCUGCAAAU